rnacentral:rRNA from 1 species
GAAGCAAAUAAGGGCACAGGGGGAAUGCCUAGGCUCUCAGAGAUGACGAAGGACGCGAUAAGCUGCGAAAAGCUACGACGAGCUGCAAAUACGCUAUGACUCGUAGAUGUCCGAAUGGGGGAACCCUCCAGAUUGAAGAUCUGGAACCCGCAAGGGGAAGAACGCAGGGAACUGAAACAUCUAAGUACCUGCAGGAAAAGAAACUAAGAAAAGGAUUCCGUAAGUAGUGGCGAGCGAACACGGAGGAGCCCAGCUCUAAUAAAGUAGUCAAGUUGAAUGGUCUGGAAAGGCCUGCCGAAGAAGGUGAUAGCCCUGUAGACGAAGACGAAAAAGAGCGAAGAGUAGCGCGGGACCGGAGGAAUCUUGCGUGAACAUGGCAGCACCAUCUGCCAAGGCUAAAUACUACUGAGAGACCGAUAGUGAACAAGUACCGUGAGGGAAAGGUGAAAAGAACUGCUAGGAGCAGAGUGAAAAGAACCUGAAACCCUGUGUCUACAAGCGGUGGGAGCGCAAGCGACCACGUGCCUUUUGCAUAAUGAGCCUACGAGUUAGUCUUCUAUGGCAAGGAUAAGGACUGGAGGUCCGCAUCCGGAGCGAAAGCGAGUCUGAAUAGGGCGCCGAGUCAUAGGAGCUAGACGCGAAACCAAGUGAUCUACCCAUGAGCAGGUUGAAGUUGCGGUAACACGCAAUGGAGGACCGAACCAGUAAACGUUGAAAAGUUUUUUGGAUGACUUGUGGUAGGGGUGAAAGGCCAAUCAAACUUGGAAAUAGCUCGUACUCCCCGAAAUGCAUUGAGGUGCAGCGUUCGGUUAGAGUGUCUAAGAGGUAGAGCUACCAAUAGGGCUAGGGGGAGUCAAAUCCUACC